UUGCUUCAGCAGCACAUAUUCUAAAAUUGGAACAAUACAGAGAAGAUUAGCACGGCCCCUGUGCAAGGAUGACAUACAAAUUCAUGAAGUGUUCCAUAUUUUU
ensembl:snRNA U6 U6 spliceosomal RNA